UGGGGAAUAUUGCACAAUGGAGGGAACUCUGAUGCAGCGACGCCGCGUGAACGAAGAAGGCUUUCGAGUCGUAAAGUUCUUUUAUAUGGGAAGAUAAUGACGGUACCAUAAGAAAAAGCCCCGGCUAACUACGUGCCAGCAGCCGCGGUAAUACGUAAGGGGCUAGCGUUGUCCGGAAUCACUGGGCGUAAAGGGUUCGCAGGCGGAAAUGCAAGUCAGGUGUAAAAGGCAGUAGCUUAACUACUGUAAGCAUUUGAAACUGCAUAUCUUGAGAAGAGUAGAGGUAAGUGGAAUUUUUAGUGUAGCGGUGAAAUGCGUAGAUAUUAAAAAGAAUACCGGUGGCGAUGGCGACUUACUGGGCUCAUUCUGACGCUGAGGAACGAAAGCGUGGGUAGCAAACAGG
rnacentral:rRNA from 1 species